rnacentral:rRNA from 1 species
CGUACACUCCUGCGGGAGGCAGCAGUGGGGAAUAUUGCACAAUGGGCGGAAGCCUGAUGCAGCAACGCCGCGUGCGGGAUGACGGCCUUCGGGUUGUAAACCGCUUUCGCCUGUGACGAAGCGUGAGUGACGGUAAUGGGUAAAGAAGCACCGGCUAACUACGUGCCAGCAGCCGCGGUGAUACGUAGGGUGCGAGCGUUGUCCGGAUUUAUUGGGCGUAAAGGGCUCGUAGGUGGUUGAUCGCGUCGGAAGUGUAAUCUUGGGGCUUAACCCUGAGCGUGCUUUCGAUACGGGUUGACUUGAGGAAGGUAGGGGAGAAUGGAAUUCCUGGUGGAGCGGUGGAAUGCGCAGAUAUCAGGAGGAACACCAGUGGCGAAGGCGGUUCUCUGGGCCUUUCCUGACGCUGAGGAGCGAAAGCGUGGGGAGCGAACAGGCUUAGAAAACCCGAGUAGUCCC